rnacentral:rRNA from 1 species
CGGAGGGGGCAAGCGUUGUUCGGAAUUAUUGGGCGUAAAGGGCGCGUAGGCGGAUCUGUGUGUCUGGCGUGAAAUCUCCACCACUUAACGGGGAGAGGUCGCUGGAAACUGCAGAUCUGGAGUUUGUCAGAGGACCAUGGAAUUCCAGGUGUAGCGGUGGAAUGCGUAGAUAUCUGGAAGAACACCGGUGGCGAAGGCGGUGGUCUGGGGCAAAACUGACGCUGAGGCGCGAAAGCCAGGGGAGCAAACGGGAUUAGAUACCCCGGUAGUCCUGGCCGUAAACGUUGGAUACUAGGUGUGGGGGGUAUCGACCCCCUCCGUGCCGAAGUUAACACAUUAAGUAUCCCGCCUGGGAAGUACGGCCGCAAGGUUG